rnacentral:lncRNA from 1 species
UGAUGUCACCACUGCCACCUUGUUCUUUAACUUUGUAGUCAACGGUGAGCACUUGGGCCAUGUCUCCUUCCAGCUGUUUGCAAAGUUCCAAAGACAACAGAAAAUGUUCAUUUUGUGAGCACUGGAGAGAAAGGAUUUGGCUAUAAGUGUUCCUGUUUUCACAGAAUUAUUCCAGGGUUUAUAUGCCAGAGUGGUGACUUCACAUGUCAUGAUGACACUGGCACAAGUCCAACUACUGGGAGAAGUCUGAUGAUGAUAACUCCAUCCUGAAGCAUACAAGACCUGGCACCUUGUCCAUGGCAAAUACUGGACGCUACACAAAUGGUUUCCAGUUUUUCAUCUGCACUGCCAAAACUGUGUGGUUGGGUGGCAAGAGUGCAGUCUUUGGCAAGACAAAAGAGGGCUUGAAUAUCUUGGAAGCCAUGGCGCACUUUGCUUUCUGGAAUGGCAAAACCAGAAAGAAGACCACGAUUGACAACUGUGGACAACUCCA